UUUUUUUUUUUUUUUUUUUUUUUGCAUCAUCGUCACCGUCUUUUCUGGGUAAAGCCACCACAGACUUGUAAGUUACAGCAUUGAAGUCACCAACCAAACGUGACAGGGCCUCAUCUGCUUGUCAAUUGGUUUCUAGAAACUGUUCCUCUUAACCAAAAGUUUGUCAUCUUUUUUUUGCUUUCCCUUUUCCCGAUCGUUGGAAAGUACAGAGAGGAGAUCAUAGCCUAUCAAAAGACAUUUCAAUCAAGAACAGGUUCUUCUAGCAGCCUAUCUGGAACACGGUCAAAUCCUUAUUAUGACGCCGGCUGUAGCAGCCAAAAAAGAAAACCCUAAAAAGAAAAAAUAGAUACAUAGAACAUGUAACAAUAACAGAAGUUUCAAAGUCUAAAUUUUGUGAUUUGAUUAGUGAGAGAGAUAAGGGAGUUCACAGACACUGGUUAAAGCACGAAUGGAGAGAGGGGAACCAAUGUGCAGUGCAGACAGUGCAACUGGGGGGCGAAUUUUUUUGGAAGAGCCACCACAAAACCUGAGGACUGCGUUAGGGAAGGACAUUUUGGGUGUUACAACGCCUGGGUAUGCUGUAUUGUAGCGGAUUUUCAGCCCUCCACAUUAACAACAACCCACCCCCACUUCCCCCCGGUCCCAAAAAGAAAAAAGAAAAAAGGAAAAAAUUGUAGAUACACGAAACUUCCAUACGAGGAAUCGCAGUUUUCUGUCAUCGGAUCACAAAUUCAGUACAAUAAUUUCAGUUUGAAGCCAUCCCCUUUCAAAUGAAUGUCCUAUUGCACCAGGAGAGAGCAAAAUGGACCUUCCACUGGGCGAGAUUAUCUCAUAGGAAACCUGCUAAAGAGAUCUACCUAAACACACUACCAGACAGAACAUAUUAUCGUAGAAUUAUAGUAUUGUUUUUUUACCUCUAAAACAUCAGUAACUCUGUCCAAAAUCCCUUUUCCCGUGAAUCAAAUUUUUGUUCUGUAUAUCAUUUGAUUGGAAAGAAUACCUAUACUACUUUGCGUUAUGCAGCCAAUUACAGCUCGACCUUUGAGUUGCCAAACUGACUAAACAUGAUUGCUAAGUCCAUACCCUGCACCAUUGUAGGGACAGCUGUAUCAUAUGGGCAGUCUCCAGAAAAACCGACCUUCCCAGAUUUCUGUACUUUCUUAAUGCACUUCUUGAACUUCUCAUGGCAUUUAACGUCAGUUAGACCUGCAAACUCCCUUAUCAUGUUAGCGUUUGAGCAAAAUAGGUAUAAUAAUCACUUCUAUAGUUAUUUUUCAGAAAAACUUUGUGAAUGAGGGUGCAAGGAAAUUCUUACGGUCCCGCAACAACAGAUGUAUAAAUUGCUCAGGUUUAACGGACAAUGCAUCAUUUUUUCAUUGAGAUGCUUUCUCACGAAAUGCUAAUGAAAAAGGAACACAAUAAAUAUGUAUCUCUGAAAUGACAAAUCAACUAGAAUUCAAUCCUCAUCCACAGAUUCAUCUAAAAACCAUACAAAAUUCUAAAGCCCAUACCAAUUUCCUUUAAAUUUCACCCUAGCAUUAGAUUAAAACAUGAGUAAGUUAUCAGGCUAGUAUUUUGUUAAAGUAGUACACGAGCUUAUUGUGUCACCUUCUUGCUCAACCGCUCUACAAUUUGCACAAUGAGAAAGAAGAAAUUUCCAUAUUAACAAGCCAUUGAAGUAUUUUCCAACAUCAAAUUGCUUUUCUUAAAGGAAAAAAUUAGCAACAAAGAGGUAAAAUUUUCUAUGGAGAUACAAGGUGAAGGACAGUGACACCAAUUGUUAUAUGCUAUACCUAACUAGCAAAGCACGAUAAAAGUUACUAAAUGUUAAGCUACUAAAGAUGUACAACUCAAACAGAGGAACAAUUCUAGUUAAAAAGUGGCCAAGUUAAUUCCCAAUGUUGGUAUCUGAAUUCCAGAAUAAGUACUUAGUUAAGGCCACAAACCAAAUAUGUAUGAUAAGAAUACAGCCAUGCAUACAAAAGUACCCCAAAUUUACAUAGGCAACAGCCACGAUUUGUGCAGGAUCACUUAAAAUCAUAACAACCUCUAGCGAUGUCUUCUCUAGUGGCCCAAGGCUAAAGGAGUGCAAUUGAUCUUAAGUUUAUUCCCAAAAAGAGGUCAAAACAUGAGAUUAAGGUAAUCUCCCUAAAAGAGCAUGUACCAAAUAAACAAUCUGACAACGUUAGCUGGGUUAAACACUAAUCUUAAUUCUAUCUGAAGUUACUAUGAUUGUUUGAUUAUCUUUGGCAGUCAAAGCUAGCAGAUAGAUAAAAACUCCUCCACCAAGGGGGCCUACAUAUAACUAUCUAAGAAGGGCCAAGCAAGAAAUUGGGCCUCACUCCCAGGCACUAUAUCUUUGACAAUCAUCAAUAUAAGAAAUCCCAUGAGUGCUGGAAAAGCCACAGUUCCAGGCAAUUUCUAUAGUUACUCUUUAGGAGUAGUCUGACAAUUCUCAUGUAGGUCCAGAUCAUUGCCAGAGAGGUAUUGUAACAUGAAGAAUAAGUGCAGUAGCUUUGAGGAGGGUACAAGUAGUUAGGAAACAUUGGAAACAAUGCAGCAUGAGUUAUUUAGCACUUUGCACCCAAAUGCAAACCUAAUCCUUUGAGCGGACUAUAGGACAAAAAGGGAAAAUUGUCUAAGAAACCAAAAAAGAAUUAAAUCUGUAUCAAGUUGAGCCAUUUUAAUGGUCGCCUGAAAAAUGGAAAAUGCUGUUUUAUAACCCUGCAACCCAAUGUUCGUAUACAGAGUGCAAGUUCACCUGCUCAUUUGGGGCGAUCAGUUAAUGCCUCAUAGUGUUACAUUGCAUGGAACCAAUAGCAUAAGUGCAGACCUUCGGCGAAAUGAAAGACUAAUUCGUUUGUUGACAAAAAAAAAAAAGAAAGACUAAUUGAUGAUCAACGAACCAGAUGCCUGUGGUUAAGUGCCUUGACCAAAAGUAAUAAGCAAAGCUACCCUCAUCCGAAAUGAGACAAAGCAAAUUGAUACUAUUUUGCAUUUAGAGCUACCCGUUGAGUUUUAUAGGCAUAAAGGAAAAUACCUUUUUUCUCGACACAUUCAUCAUGAAUCUUGCAACAAGCAUCCAGAUCAUCACAAGGUUUCUCUCCUGGACACCCACUCCACCCUACUCCACAAUACUUCCCGUAUCUAAUCCCAAUUGCUGUUCCCAAUUUUUUUUUUUAUUUAAAAAAAGUACAAAUCUCAAUAGAACGCAUAAUAAGUUUAGAAAACGCAACUACAAAAUAAAUUAAAAAGAAAAAGAAAAAGAGAUAGAGGUAUAUUUACAGUUGCAGUUCUCUGCAACGCAGGUUUUGCUGCAUCCAACCUACCAACCACAUCCAAAACACCAAAAAAAAAAAAAGGAACGGAAAAAAGAAGAGAAUUUAAUACUCGACCAUUUCAAACAUUAAAAGCUUUAUCUAAAGGCACUAAAAUUGUGAACUAUGUGAAUCUAUACCUGAGAAUUGUUGGAGGUCUCAGCGAUGACAUUGAAGAAGAGGAGAGAGAUGAUGGUUAUAAGAACCAAUGCAGCAGGGCCACGAGUCCGAAACGAAACACUACUGCUGCCCCGUUGCAUUCCUCUCUCUGUCAUCUGCCUCCUCCUUCUGCUUUCCCCCCAAGUGAUUCUUUCAAUCUCUCUCCCCUCGUUUUCGUGCCUCGCGAUUUGUUUUCUUUUCUGAGUACUUGUUUUCUUCGAACAAAAGAACAGCGUCGAUGACCAUAAUGGCCUCCAGAAGAUUCGGAAUGUGGACGUAGCGGGCUUUCCUGAUUGGCUGAUUGGUUACAGCGGAUGUCUAUUUUUGUCUUUGUGGAUUCAACUUGCAGGCAUGGUAGUUGACCUCUAAAUAUUAACACAUGCCCCCUCAUGGGACAAGAAAAUUUAAUAAAAAUAAUAAUAACAAAUCGUGAGCCUCGAGAGGAAAAAAAUAAAAAUAUCAUAACAGAUUUAAUAGGGGAAUAUUUGCAGUAUCAACCAAUGCCCGUGACCCUGCUUUUUUGUGUUUGCGAACGCACGUUACUUACCAGUUAGAAUCGUCAAUAUAUUUAUGGGAAAUUCUAUUUUACGUUUCUGGUAUAAUCUCUAAGAAUUAUAUCCACAUGGCAAAAUUACCAAAAUACUUUGAUCUGGCAUAACCUACUUUUCAAAUGCUUCAAUCCAUCAGUGGAUUUGCCUACUGCUACCUCAGCGUCUCUCUUAUUUUGCAAUUACUCUUAUCAUAGCCAUCUCCACAGCAAUUUUCAAACAAAAGCCAGCUCCAUCCGAAAGCGUGGUGAACUCCCCAGUCUCCACAGGUGAUCACCAUCAAGGGGUACCCUGAGAGUCCCAAAACUGACCAAAGGUUUAAGCAUCCCCAUUAUCAUAGUCAUAAUUUAGCAGGAUGAAAGUGAAGGUCGGCUAGAAUUGGAUGGGCAGCCUGGAAAAAGUAUCCAUAUGGACACGGAAACAUCAUUCCAAACAAGUUAAUCCCAUUACACUGAAAUGUCGCAUAUUCUGACGAAACAUUGCAUCCCCCAUCCGAAGUCAAUUAAAGAAUUUUGAGAUAAUCAUGUUAGCAAAAUAUGCGCAUAUUUGCCAGACACUGCGCAAAUCAUAUGACCUUGGCACCGUGCAUGCCUAAUUGAUAACUGAGCAGCAGUAGUUUUUGGUCAAAACAACAUCCAUCACGAUCACGAGUAGGAGUACCUUCCAACCAAAAACUCUAUUACAAAUUUCACUACUCUAUCCAUUCAAACUGGAGAAGGAACUAAAGUAUCAAAUUCACAGAUUAUUGAGGCAAUAAAUUUGACCACUGAUUUCUCAGCUUCAAAACUUUUUGCAGGAAACAAAAAUCUUGCAUGUGAAACGAUGGUGGCUCAAUUCAAACUUAAUUAUGACAAAGGGCUCAU
rnacentral:lncRNA from 1 species